CUAAUCCUGCUAGUUUCACCACAUUGCUGCUGUAUAGAGCAGGAGUUCAGCUCCCCACUGAGCCUGCUAUCAUCAGAGAAGUGAUUUCUGUUUUCAAAAGAUCACUCUGAUGCUGUGUUGCGUAUGGAUUGUCUUGGGACAAGCAAUAAUGCAGGAAAAUACAGGGAGAGGCGGCUGUCAGUCAAGUCCUGUUCAGAUGUGAUGCUCACAACUGUUGCAACCAUCCUGUAGGCAUGGGAGGAGAAGGUCCAAGGACAGCCCAGAGUCUUCUGAUGGUGGAGCAGAGGGGGUCUUGCUCUAUUCCUGAGGCUGGAGUUCAGUGGUG